AGUUGUUAAAAACUAAGUCUGGAGAUACAAAAGAUGCCAGACUAAAUUCAAACCCACCCUUAAUAGUGGCUUGUCAGUUUUGCUGGCAAAUCCUCCAGGAGGAAAAAGAGAGACAAGGCUCAAGGAAGAUAUUUUAGAUCAAUAGACAGCAACCGAGGAAGGACACAGACAAAUCACCACUCCUCCCAGUAUCCUGACAAAGGAUAACAAGGAAGAAUGGGAGACAGGUCACUCUACAUCUGAGUUCUUGACUGUCUUGUCCCAGAAAAGGUA